GCAGGGUAAGCCGACCCCUAAGGCGAGGCCGAAAGGCGUAGUCGAUGGGAACCAGGUUAAUAUUCCUGGGCCAGGAGGAUGUGACGGAUCUCGAAGGUUGUUCCCUCUUAUCGGAUUGAGGGGGCUGCUGAGAGGUUCCUGGAAAUAGCCCUCCGCUAGAUCGUACCCUAAACCGACACAGGUGGACUGGUAGAGAAUACCAAGGCGCUUGAGAGAACUAUGUUGAAGGAACUCGGCAAAAUACCUCCGUAAGUUCGCGAGAAGGAGGCCCGGUUUCUAGGCAACUGGAGGCUGGGGGCACAAACCAGGGGGUGGCGACUGUUUACUAAAAACACAGGGCUCUGCGAAGUCGCAAGACGACGUAUAGGGUCUGACGCCUGCCCGGUGCCUGAAGGUUAAAAGGAGGGGUGAAAGCUCCGAAUUGAAGCCCAGGUAAACGGCGGCCGUAACUAUAACGGUCCUAAGGUAGCGAAAUUCCUUGUCGGGUAAGUUCCGACCUGCACGAAUGGCGUAACGACUUCCCCGCUGUCUCAAAUAUGGACUCAGCGAAAUUGAACUGUGUGUCAAGAUGCACACUACCCGCGGUUAGACGGAAAGACCCCAUGCACCUUUACUAUAGCUUCGCAUUGGCAUCAGGCACAGUAUGUGCAGGAUAGGUGGUAGGCUUUGAAGCCGGGACGCUAGUCUCGGUGGAGCCUCCCUUGAGAUACCACCCUUAUUCUGCUUGAUGUCUAACCGCGGCCCGUUAUCCGGGUCCGGGACCCUGCGUGGUGGGUAGUUUGACUGGGGCGGUCGCCUCCCAAAUUGUAACGGAGGCGCGCGAAGGUUGGCUCAGAGCGGUCGGAAAUCGCUCGUUGAGUGCAAUGGCAGAAGCCAGCCUGACUGCAAGACUGACAAGUCGAGCAGAGUCGAAAGACGGCCAUAGUGAUCCGGUGGUCCCGAGUGGAAGGGCCAUCGCUCAACGGAUAAAAGGUACGCCGGGGAUAACAGGCUGAUGGUGCCCAAGAGUCCAUAUCGACGGCACCGUUUGGCACCUCGAUGUCGGCUCAUCUCAUCCUGGGGCUGGAGCAGGUCCCAAGGGUACGGCUGUUCGCCGUUUAAAGAGGUACGUGAGCUGGGUUUAGAACGUCGUGAGACAGUUCGGUCCCUAUCUUCCGUGGGUGUAGGAUAUUUGAGAAGAGUUGCCCCUAGUACGAGAGGACCGGGGUGAACGAUCCACUGGUGGAUCUGUUGUUGCGCCAGCAGCAGUGCAGAGUAGCUAUGAUCGGACAGGAUAACCGCUGAAGGCAUCUAAGCGGGAAGCCCCCUUCAAAACAAGAUAUCCCUGAGAGCCGAGGUAGACCACCUCGUCGAUAGGCCAGAGAUGUAAGCGGUGUAAGCCGUUCAGUUGACUGGUACUAAUUGCUCGAUAGGCUUGAUU
rnacentral:rRNA from 1 species